rnacentral:lncRNA from 1 species
UCACUGUGCCUGUUCCCCUGGCCCCGAAGAGGAACCAGUGGCAUGAUGUCACACACCUGUUUGGCUGGAGGCAGGGGCCUGGAGACUCUAGGAGCUGUGGGGUGUCAAGUUGGCACCCCUGCUACGCCCUGUGGAUGUGUCAAAAUGGCAGAUGAUGGUCGGGGUGUGUGCAGCUGCUAGGGAUGAAGAGUGCCAAGAGCGAAUGUUUCCUGCGGUGAACUCCAAUCAAGUUUAAGAAACAUCUCAAGGAUGAAAAUGGCACCGGAGAAGAAGGCAGACGCUU